UUUUGAAUCUUAUCUUUGUCUGAAUAGCCUGCCUUUUCCGAAUUGCAUUAGCUCAACCGCCCUAGCCACUCAUUGGCUGAUCUUAACUAGCCCCUCCCCUAAAGGAUCAUCCACUACAUGUAAUUGGCUGUUCUUAAUUAGCCCCUCCCUCUAAUCAGUAACCCCUCCCUUGGGUGAUUCUGGAAUAUUUUAGAAGAAUGAGAGCUAAAAGUUCACUCCUCAUCUUGAUGGAGAUCGUCUGAAAAGCUCUCUGGAUCUUAACUCCACCCUAAUUCUCCUGGGGAUCGAACCCAUGACCUUCCUAUCUUGGUAUGGCUCUUUACAGACCACUGUGCUACCAUUUGCUACAGACUUUCUGGUAAUUUUAUCUUUUUUUUUUUCAGGUAAAUCCAGAAGAACUCUAAUUUCAUCUUCAGUGGGACUCGAACCUGAAGCUUUUGGAUUGUGGGCUGACUCACAGACCACUGAGCCACCAAGACUACAGUACACGCAUAUGGUUUUGUUAAUUGUGUCUGUUUUAUUCCAGGUUAAACGUCAUCUAAAGAAGGAAUCAAACUCUGCAACUCUGUCCAUGAGCUGAUGAUCAGACCACUGCGCCACUGAUGUGCUCACACUAGCUAUUAAUGCCUAGUAUUUGAAUAACCCCCGCCGCUGCGCUGCGCUGCUCGCUCUCCGCCACUAGAUGGCAGUAUUACACCACAGAUCACCGCUUCUCCUCAGCAUUAAACGGUCAAACCUCAUCUGAAGGAGAAAUCAAAGAUCACAGGCUGAUGUGCUCACACUUUCUGCUGUUUUGGGUCAUCCUGCCUUUUCUAUUCCAGGUAAACAUCAUGUAAAGGAGGAAGCAAAGCUGUGAAUUCCCCAAUCAUGAGCUGCUGUUCACAGCACUGAGCUGCUGAUGCUCUCUUGCAUCAUGUUAAACCUUAUCUGCUUCAUAUCUCAGGCUGAUGUUCAGACCACGGACACACUCAACUGAUUUUUGCUAAUUUUGUCUGUUUAUUCCAGUUAAACCAGUAGAAGGUCAUCUACAGAGAGACUCAAACCUGCAUCUGUCAUAUCAGGGCUCUGCUGUUGUCCACUGAUGCUUGCAGAGCCGUGAGCCGCUGCUUUGGUUUUGGGUAGAGCUUUUACAAAUGUUGCCUGAGCUCAAAACCUGAACCCUCGCUCUCCUCCUGUUCUGUUAAACUCCCAAUUCUCAGAAAGUCUCAUGGGCAGAUGACUCUCCAGAACUCCUCUGUCCGCUUUUGGGUUGGUUUGCAUAUAGUUUUUAAUUAUUCAGAAGAAAUCAGACUGAUUUUCCAUUGGUCGUGAACUGCUGCUCAGUUUCAUUGGUUUGCAUCUACAGCUCAUUUCUCCACAGCUCAUUGUUGUUUAUUAGCCGGUUUAUGAUUUAUUAAAAAUUAGUAAAUCAU